GCCGGUAAGCUCCACUUGUGCUGAAAGGUUCAGCCUUCAUGCUGGCAAGCACACGAGUGUCUGGGUCAUUUGAGAGCUGAAUGUUGGAGACGCAGUCGCUGACCAUCCGUCGUUCAGAGGAGGCUCCCUGACUGAGUCUCGGCCGGAGCUGGGGAUCAAGCCCUUGGCUUAGGACUCGUUGAACCGUAGCAUCAGGACGGAUGCAGUGCGAGUAGAGGACAGGGAAGGUUUCAGCGAGAGAUGUGUUGAGGAUCCACUUUAUCAUGCCAGAAUGAGGUGAGUGUGCCGGACGUCGGCCUCCUUCGACGGCGCCCGGACGUCGCCUGCUCCCUCCAUCACUCUCACACCCCGCCGUCGCACACUUGGUGCUCGUCGUCCUGCCAAAUCGGCCGGGCUUUGCUAGGCCUCCCUGUCGUACGACCCCCCCCCCCCCCCCCCCCUCUCUCUCCCUCUCUCUCUGGAUUUGCUGCAUCGGCUGCUGCAGCAUCCCCUACCCUCGUGAAUGAGGGAUUGCAGGACAGAAGCCGCGUGCCUCCGCAUCAUCCACACCACGAUGACCACACCACGAUGACCUCGCCCCCACACGUCGUCCUCCUCGGCGCUGCUUGGCAUGAGAUGCAAGCGACCGUGGCCUUAGGAUUUUUGGGGACGUACUGACGUUCGCCUCCAAUGCUAAUGAAGCAUUCACUGACCACUGCAUACCAGAAUGGACACUUUAAAUCAGCAUGUUGAAUGUGCGGAUAUAUCUACACACAAGCUUUGGUAUACUUGUUCUCUGCUGCUAUUCUAAAUUAAUUCCUUAUUUCUUCUCUUAUAUCUAUACAACUAAAAAGAGGCUAAGGGUGACGUUUUUCUUCGUCUUUCAUCCCCCGUCUGAGCGGCGCCCCAUGGUCCUUCGUCGUCCGUCCUCGGGGAAACAAGGAGCAUCUGAUCAUCUCCCGUGCAAUCUGAGCGCUCCCACACCCUCACCCGACCAGCCUCCCACACAGCACGCCGCCUUCCCCAUCGGCUCCGCCCGACGCCCUCCCCCUCACAAAGGAAGAUGCUGCUGCUCGGGAGGAAAGGAGUGCAGCCACUUAACUUGCUGGCAAAAUGAUCGAGUCUUUGUAAUUCCAUUAUCACAGGUUCAUGUUUAUGAAGAAGAACCCAUUUAAAUAUUCUCAAUAUUUCAGAACUUGGUUACAUACAAGUGAUUCUGAUGUAGUGCCCAUGAGUGAUAGCCACAACAAUAUGAUAGCUUAUGGAUUCAACGAUGUAACGUUUGGAGGCGACCUCACAGAAGCCAUGAUAUCCUUAAGACCGUUGAAAUUCACACGCUAUGGGUGCCCGAAUUCAGAAAGGCCUGUUGGAGCAAUAUUUUAUUUGAUGAAGAUUAUGUAUGUAUAUGGAGUAGGCUAUAUCCUCAACUGCGCUAUACAUAUCCUGCAUUGAGUGUACGUGUUUAACUCUUCUCUGAAAUGUUAUUUGCUCGUAAUAGUUCACUGUGGAGAAUUCACCAGGGGGAAUCUAUUUUGUUUACUGUAUUUUUUAAAUAAAAAGCUAUCACAUUGCACUU